rnacentral:misc_RNA from 1 species
UGGUUCUGGCAUCGAUGAAGAACGCAGCGAAAUGCGAUAAGUAAUGCGAAUUGCAGAAUUUCCGUGAGUCAUCGAAUCUUUGAACGCACAUUGCGCCCUUUGGCAUUCCGAAGGGCAUGCCUGUCCGAGCGUCAUUAUCCUCCCUCAAACCCCCGGGUUUGGUGUUGGACUGCGUUGGCCUUCACCGGCCAACUGGUCUCAAAGACAAUGACGGCGUCCCAGGGACCCUCUUCGCACUGAGCUUUCCGGAGCACGCGAGGAGUUUCAAGGGCCCCGGGACCCGGUCAUCUUUAACUAUUUUUUCAGGUUGACCUCGGAUCAGGUAGGAAUACCCGCUGA